rnacentral:rRNA from 1 species
AAAGGAAUAGACGGGGGCCCGCACAAGCGGAGGAACAUGUGGUUUAAUUCGAUGAUACGCGAGGAACCUUACCUGGGAUUGAAAUGUAUAUGAAGGUAACCUGAAAGGGAUACUGUUCACUUCGGUGACAUAUAUGUAGGUGCUGCAUGCCUGUCGUCAGCUCGUGCCGUGAGGUGUCGGCUUAAGUGCCAUAACGAGCGCAACCCUUAUCGUUAGUUGCCAUCAGGUGAUGCUGGGGACUCUAGCGAGACUGCCGUCGUAAGGCGAGAGGAAGGUGGGGAUGACGUCAAGUCAGCACGGCCCUUAUAUCCAGGGCGACACACGUGUUACAAUGGUGAGGCCAGAGGGUAGCUACCGGGUGACCGGACGCCAAUCUCAAAAAUCUCAUCUCAGUUCGGAUCGGAGUCUGCAAUUCGACUCCGUGAAGUUGGAUUCGCUAGUAAUCGCACAUCAGCCAUGGUGCGGUGAAUAUGUUCCCGGGCCUUGUACACACCGCCCGU